AUCAACUGCCUAGGCCUAUCAGAAUUAUAUCAAAAAGAAUGGUGAAGAAAAAUUACUUCCUGGACUUGACCUAAAUCACAAACAACUAUUUUUCUUGAACUUUGCACAGGUGUGGUGUGGAACCUAUAGGCCAGAGUAUGCAGUUAACUCCAUUAAAACAGAUGUGCACAGUCCAGGCAAUUUCAGGAUUAUUGGGACUUUGCAGAACUCUGCAGAGUUUUCAGAAGCCUUUCACUGCCGCAAGAAUUCAUACAUGAAUCCAGAAAAGAAGUGCCGGGUUUGGUGAUCUUCAAAAGAAGCAGUGCAGCCCUUGGCUAGACUUGCCAACACCACAGAAACGGGGAAUUCUCUAAUUGAAAGAAAACGGGCCUAGGGGUCACUGUACUGACUUGGGGGUGAUUAACAGAGAGGGCACCAUCACAAUACAGAUAACAUUAGGUUGUUCUAGAAAGGGUGUGCAGGGAGGAACGGGGUCUAAUGUCUAUCAAGUCAAUCACUUCUCACUGUGUACAUAAUGCUUAAUUUCUAAAGAUAUUACUGUUUAUUUCUGUUUCUCAUAUG
rnacentral:sRNA from 1 species